UGCGUGCCGUUACGUCAACCGACCCACUAGUCUUUUAGCUGUGCAGUACCGAAGAACCGAGUUUGGUUUGCUCCACUGAUAUUCUACUUGGAAAAUGAAGUGACAGACUACACUCUGUGGUAUUGUGCGUGAUGAAAUCUGUUUCCGCUUUACAAGACGACGAAUUCUCCUCUGUCGCUCUCAU
rnacentral:misc_RNA from 1 species